rnacentral:rRNA from 1 species
UGCAGUCGAACGGCAGCACGGGAGCUUGCUCCUGGUGGCGAGUGGCGAACGGGUGAGUAAUGCGUCGGAACGUACCGAGUAAUGGGGGAUAACGCAGCGAAAGUUGUGCUAAUACCGCAUACGCCCUGAGGGGGAAAGUGGGGGAUCGCAAGACCUCACGUUAUUCGAGCGGCCGACGUCUGAUUAGCUUGUUGGUGAGGUAAUGGCUCACCAAGGCGACGAUCAGUAGCGGGUCUGAGAGGAUGAUCCGCCACACUGGAACUGAGACACGGUCCAGACUCCUACGGGAGGCAGCAGUGGGGAAUUUUGGACAAUGGGGGCAACCCUGAUCCAGCCAUUCCGCGUGAGUGAAGAAGGCCUUCGGGUUGUAAAGCUCUUUCAGCCGGAACGAAACGGUACGCCUUAAUACGGUGUGCUAAUGACGGUACCGGCAGAAGAAGCACCGGCUAACUACGUGCCAGCAGCCGCGGUAAUACGUAGGGUGCGAGCGUUAAUCGGAAUUACUGGGCGUAAAGCGUGCGCAGGCGGAUUGUUAAGCAAGAUGUGAAAUCCCCGGGCUUAACCUGGGAAUGGCAUUUUGAACUGGCAGUCUAGAGUGUGUCAGAGGGGGGUGGAAUUCCACGUGUAGCAGUGAAAUGCGUAGAGAUGUGGAGGAACACCGAUGGCGAAGGCAGCCCCCUGGGAUAACACUGACGCUCAUGUACGAAAGCGUGGGUAGCAAACAGGAUUAGAUACCCUGGUAGUCCACGCCCUAAACGAUGUCAACUGGUUGUUGGGGGAGUGAAAUCCCUUAGUAACGAAGCUAACGCGUGAAGUUGACCGCCUGGGGAGUACGGUCGCAAGAUUAAAACUCAAAGGAAUUGACGGGGACCCGCACAAGCGGUGGAUGAUGUGGAUUAAUUCGAUGCAACGCGAAAAACCUUACCUACCCUUGACAUGUCCAGAACCCUGCA